rnacentral:rRNA from 1 species
GUGGGAAGGCUCAGACAGCCAGGAUGUUGGCUUAGAAGCAGCCAUCAUUUAAAGAAAGCGUAAUAGCUCACUGGUCGAGUCGGCCUGCGCGGAAGAUGUAACGGGGCUAAGUAGUAAACCGAAGCUGCGGCAAUAUACUUUUGUAUAUUGGGUAGGGGAGCGUUCUGUAAGCGGUUGAAGGUGUGUGGUAACGCAUGCUGGACGUAUCAGAAGUGCGAAUGCUGACAUGAGUAACGAUAAAGGGGGUGAAAAACCUCCUCGCCGGAAGACCAAGGGUUCCUGUCCAACGUUAAUCGGGGCAGGGUAAGUCGACCCCUAAGGCGAGGCCGAAAGGCGUAGUCGAUGGGAAACGGGUUAAUAUUCCCGUACUUCUUACAAUUGCGAUGGGGGGACGGAGAAGGCUAGGUGGGCCUGGCGACGGUUGUCCAGGUUCAAGUGCGUAGGCUUAAGAGUUAGGUAAAUCCGGCUCUUUCUAAGGCUGAGACACGACGUCGAGCAUCUACGGAUGUGAAGUCAUUGAUGCCAUGCUUCCAGGAAAAGCCUCUAAGCUUCAGAUUGUA